UACGGAGGGUGCAAGCGUUAAUCGGAAUUACUGGGCGUAAAGCGCACGCAGGUGGCUGAGUCAGUCGAUUGUGAAAGCCCUGGGCUUAACCUGGGAAUUGCAGUCGAUACUACUUAGCUAGAGUAUGGGAGAGGGCAGUGGAAUUCCCGGUGUAGCGGUGAAAUGCGUAGAUAUCAGGAGGAAUACCGAUGGCGAAGGCAGGUCUCUGGGCUGACACUGACGCUCAUGCACGAAAGCGUGGGGAGCAAACAGG
rnacentral:rRNA from 1 species